rnacentral:lncRNA from 10 species
CUAACAGGGUAUUUAUUUGGGAACUUGCAUUUUCCUGGUGUAGCCUACAUGCUUCAAGGAAAACUAACUACCUUUUCCACCAAUGACAGGGAUAGGCCAUGAUUGACAGGCCAAUCAGCAUGGUUCCCCCUCCUCACCACCAACUACUGUCAUUGAUUUCAAAGUGGACAUUGGAACUCAAAUGAUACAAUCAAGGUGGUCUUUUCAAAGGCACUGAAAACCUUGAAGAGUGAGAAGCAAUAGAUUAGCUGUGAAAUCAAAAGGAGGUUUAAGAAGAGCUUUGAAAUCACUGAAAGAUUAGGAACCUGGGGCUCAAAAAGGCUAAACGAAUUGCCAGUCACCACAAACACUACGGCUUUCUAUAUUCCUGGAUGAAUGUCUGCCAUUAGCUUGCAGCUGACCAUGGUGUUGGCAUCCGUGUAUGGCCAUGGAUCGUUACACACGCUGGGACUGUGGUGUAGGGGUAUGUAAUUUCAUUGCUUUUCCCACCUGAUUUCUAACUACACCCAAUUUAUUUUAUUAUUUUCAAUGUCUUUAAUAAAAAUUAUUUUCUUCCCCAAAAUGUUAAAAGGGAGAGGAAGAAUGAGUGGACCAAAGGAGAAUGGAUUUUGUAAACAUUAAAAGAUGCCCCAAAGAA